CCAGAAGUCGAACAAAAUGUCGACCUGUCAUAUUCACUUCCUUACACGACGACCGUUCUCCAAGGUUUUAUUUCGUGUUAUUUCAACAAACACUGCUGUUCGGAAUUCUAAAGAGUUCUUAAAUGCUUUUGGACUCUGUGGAAGCGAGAUGUGAUGAUAGGACGCAAUGUCCAAAUGCUGGUUAUUUCAUCGGCAUUUGUCCAAGUGAAAAAGCCAUUCUGAGGUAGACGUUUGCAUAGAGGCAUUAAUUAAACUUGGACAACUUUCGUGAGAGUCAGACGUAAUAUUUGCUAAUGGUUGAGGAGUUUGGUUCAUCAUAAUGAGAUAACAAUCACAUUAGCUACCCAAACAAUGACAAAACUUCUCGUUCGCGGAAAACGUUCUGGUUAAUGGAGCGCCCAGAGAUUUGUUCUUCAAAACCGAGGACUAUCGUGGGAUGAGAUGUGUUUUUUGUGCCCUGAAGGCUCUUUUCAAUUCCAUAUUCCGGAGCAAAACCUAAAUUUUGCUUCUAAGUUAAGGCUCGAAAUUUCUUUUCAUCUAAAUAAUAGUCAUCGGAGGAAGUUGUAAACGUUUCAUCGGCAAGAUGCAACUGAAAUUUCAUAUUAAAACAGCAAGCUGCAUUAAAGUUUAUUAGAUUUUGAAUAACACAGACAUUUCUGAUGAGCUAUGACAAACAACAUCUUACUGUCUCAGAACACAAUCUCUCCUCUCUGAGUUUGAGAAAACCUUCACUUCCCCGCGUGACAACAAGCAUCGUCUGCAACUUCAUCAAAAAGCCAACUUUCGUUUCUUUAUAUCCAGCCAAAUAAAUUUACCUUCGUUGUGAACAAUUAAAAUACACACAACGGAGCAGAUUCUAGCCUUGCCCAUCUAUAGCGCAUGAUUUGUUAUAAGUUUUUUUAAGGUUGCUUUCAUUUAAAAAUGUGAAGGUUUCAGCUGUUUGUGUGGUUGUCAUCAGGAGACGAAUACAAACAUAAACAAGAAUAACUGCCGAAGAUUUGGAAAGAAUGUUCACAUUUUUAUUGAAGGUGAAAAUGAAAAAAUUUAAACAGCUGAGAUCUGAGAAACAUCUCAUCUCUACUGACUGGGAAAAUUUUGUUAGGAAGAGUGAAGAUAUAUCAACUAGCGCCGUUUACAGAAAGGAUUCAUUAUUAUUAGGAGCACGAGGACAAUUUUUCGCUCUCUAAACUUACGCUUUGUUCACAAUUCCAAGAUUUUUGCUGUUAGAUGCAUUUUUAUUAUUUAUGAGCAAGUUUUAUAAAGUAUAUAAGAUAUCAAGUUGCGGAACACUAGAAUA